rnacentral:rRNA from 1 species
UACAGAGGGGGCAAGCGUUGUUCGGAAUUACUGGGCGUAAAGGGCGCGUAGGCGGCCUUCUAAGUCGAACGUGAAAUCCCUGGGCUCAACCCAGGAACUGCGUCCGAUACUGGAAGGCUUGAAUCCGGGAGAGGGAUGCGGAAUUCCAGGUGUAGCGGUGAAAUGCGUAGAUAUCUGGAGGAACACCGGUGGCGAAGGCGGCAUCCUGGACCGGUAUUGACGCUGAGGCACGAAGGUCAGGGGAGCAAACGGG